GUGACCUGCGGAAGGAUCAUUAUUGAAUAACUUGGUGUUGAGCUGGCCCUAUUGGGCAUGUGCUCGCAUCAUAUUAUUUAUCUAUCUCUUGUGCACCUUUUGUAGUCUUUGAAGUGUUCGCAGUCAAUGCGGUUUUGGGGCUUGGGCAUAUUCUGCCCUUGCCUUGUAUAUGCUUCAAAGGCUAUGUUUUUUAUACACACUAUUCGAAGUUACAGAAUGUCUCUUUAUUGACUCUGUCAGUAAAAYCUAUACAACUUUCAGCAACGGAUCUCUUGGCUCUCCCAUCGAUGAAGAACGCAGCGAAAUGCGAUAAGUAAUGUGAAUUGCAGAAUUCAGUGAAUCAUCGAAUCUUUGAACGCACCUUGCGCCCUUUGGUAUUCCGAAGGGCAUGCCUGUUUGAGUGUCAUUAAAUUCUCAACCUUGCAAGCUUUUUUUUGCUAGCGAGGCUUGGAUGUGAGGGCUUUUGCUGGCUUCCUUCAUUGGAUGGUCUGCUCCCUUUAAAUUCAUUAGUGGGAUCCUUUGUGGAUGGUCACUUGGUGUGAUAAUUAUCUACGCCGCCUGACUCUGAAACAAGACUUGUGGGGACCUGCUCAUAACCGUCUCUUCAAGGGACAAUCUAUAUUGACAA
rnacentral:rRNA from 1 species